rnacentral:rRNA from 1 species
UACGGAGGGUGCAAGCGUUAUCCGGAUUUACUGGGUUUAAAGGGUGUGUAGGCGGGCUAUUAAGUCAGUGGUGAAAUCUCCGGGCUCAACCUGGAAACUGCCAUUGAUACUAUUAGUCUUGAAUUUUGUUGAGGUAGGCGGAAUAAGUCAUGUAGCGGUGAAAUGCAUAGAUAUGACUUAGAACACCAAUUGCGAAGGCAGCUUGCUAAACAAAUAUUGACGCUGAGGCACGAAAGCGUGGGGAUCAAGCAGG